CCUCCACACCUCCCCGGAAGCUGAGGGAGCAGCUCCGGCCUUGGCCAGCCCAGAAAGGGGCUCCCACAGUGCAGCGGCGGGCUGAAGGGCCCCUCAAGCGCGACCGAGUGGGCGCCAAGGCCGAGGAGGCGCCGAGAGCGAGCCAGGGCUGUGAGGGCUGCCAGCAUGCUGUCACCUCUCAGUAGUGAAUACGUUUCACAAGAGCUGAUAGUUUUAUAAUUGGGAGUUCCCCUGCACAAGCUGUCUUACCUGCCGCCAUGUAAGAUGGGACCUUGUUCCUCGUUCGCCUUUCUCCACAGUUGUGAAGCUUCCUCAGCUGUGUGGAACUGAACCUCUUGUCUUUUACCAGCAUCCAUGGAAUUGUGGCAAACUAACUUAUUACAACUUAUGGUUAUUUUUGUGAGUGUUCUACCACUUCUAGCAUUACUCUACAUCGCCAAAUUUAG
rnacentral:lncRNA from 1 species